GAUCAUGGCUCAGGAUGAACGCUGGCGGCGUGCCUAAUACAUGCAAGUCGAGCGAACCGUAAGGGAGCUUGCUCCUUACGGUUAGCGGCGGACGGGUGAGUAACACGUGGGUAACCUGCCCUCAAAACUGGGAUAACAUCGAGAAAUCGGUGCUAAUACCGGAUAAUCAAUAAGACCGCAUGGUCUUAUUAUAAAAGGUGGCUUCGGCUACUAUUUGAGGAUGGGCCCGCGGCGCAUUAGCUAGUUGGUAAGGUAACAGCUUACCAAGGCGACGAUGCGUAGCCGACCUGAGAGGGUGAUCGGCCACAUUGGGACUGAGACACGGCCCAAACUCCUACGGGAGGCAGCAGUAGGGAAUCUUCCGCAAUGGACGCAAGUCUGACGGAGCAAACCGCCGCGUGAGUGAUGAAGGUUUUCGGAUCGUAAAACUCUGUUGUUAGGGAAGAACAAGUACCGUUCGAAUAGGUCGGUACCUUGACGGUACCUAACCAGAAAGCCACGGCUAACUACGUGCCAGCCGCUGC
rnacentral:rRNA from 1 species